rnacentral:rRNA from 1 species
UACAGAGGGUGCAAGCGUUAUUCGGAGUUAUUGGGCGUAAAGAGCGCGUAGGUGGCUCGAUAAGUUUGGUGUGAAAUCCCUGGACUCAAUCCAGGAAGUGCAUUGAAUACUGUCGAGCUAGAGUGCAGGAGAGGUAAGCGGAAUUCCAGGUGUAGAGGUGAAAUUCGUAGAUAUCUGGAGGAACAACAGUGGCGAAGGCGGCUUACUGGACUGCAACUGACACUGAGGCGCGAAAGCGUGGGGAGCAAAC